AUUUAGAUAAAUAAAAAUAAACCUCCAAAACUUCCGGCGUGUAUAUCUAUAAGUAUCAGUCUAGACAUAUUUGUGGACAAAAACAAAACAAUAGACAACCAAGAGAUUAUUUCAGUAUUUUACCCAUUAUAAGAUGAUUGCUAUCUUCAGUGCGUUAAUCGGACGUUGUGACAGCCUAGCGGUAUGAAGAUUGUUGCAUUUUUGGCGGUAUUUCAAGCCUCGUUCUGGGAGCCAACGCAGAUUGCUGUAAAAAUGGCAGGCUAUCAUAUGAGGGACAUUGCUACUACAUCGGUUAUGAAACCCUUUUGACAUUCACUUCUGCAUGGGCGCACUGUAACAGUCGGGAGGCUUACCUUGUGCGGCUUUAGACACCUGGCGAAUACUUAUUCGUGAAAGAAUAUUUGAAGAAAACUGGAGCAGGUCAACCCGACAACUCCGGAAACGAAGACUGCGUGCACUGAAAAAGUUAUAUGAAAUUCAAGUGGAAUGACAUUUGCUGCAGCUAAAAAUUCAUUCCAUUGUGUGAAUAUGACUUGAGCUAAAUCUGUCGAAUCAACGGAUAGAACAUCGUUUUCCCUUUCAGUAUAACCUUUGUUUUAGUUCAAAAUUUUAUGAAAAAAUAUGUUUUCCUUUUUAAUGAUUGAUAAAGCUAUUAUGAUGGUAUGACCUGAUAUAAAUCCAAUCCAAAUAUGCUUAAUAAUUUAUACUUCUUAAUCAUAACUUGUCUGGGAAGUAACAAGCAUUUUUAAUAUGUUUUAAAUAUUGUAAAAAAAACAUUGAAUUAUUUUUAUUUGUCUAUAUUUCUUACAGCAACUUCUUAAGUAUUUUAGGGCAUAAACAUUUCUGUGUUUCGGGCAACCCAAUCCUACCAAGAGAAACCCUCGUGGCCCUUAAUCAUAUUCCUUGAAAUAUGUAUAGGUCAGCAUUUUAUUUUGAAACGGAUUAAAAAGAUAUUUCUGACCUACUCGUCUUUUAUGAGAAUUUCACAUCUAAUUUUUAGUUCUUGAUAUUUCGAAUGCAUUAUCUGCAACACAAAAGUUAAAACAUUGUAAAUUUCAACCAAAACAACUGGCAUAUUCCAAAGACUUGUUGUGUUCAAGUAUGAUCAACAAUAAAGCAAUAGCCACUUUAGUUGAAUUUUGGGAUAGUUUCCAAGUUAAAAAGAGGGAUAAUUUUCUUAAACUACGCGGGGCGUUUGAAAAAUAAUGCAAGCGAAUAUUUAUAUCGCACAAAGCGUCAAAAAACCCGUGAUAAAAGCAACCACGUGUAGAUACAUUAACCACUUGUGCGUAACAUAGCGAAACAUCUCUCUCAUAACUUCACUGACCUUGGUACAGUACACGUGUUUUCAAAAAAUAUGAUAAACAAGAUCAACAAGGAUAGACGGCGUUCAAUGAACGCAACCCCUAUACGACCAAGCAACAAGAACCAGUGGCAAGGAGCCCACGCGGACCCCAACAAAAACAGGACAGGGCACAAAACUGAGCACGGACAGGUUAAUCACUAAAAUGAUAAAUAAUUUAAAACUGAUAAGGAAUUCAAAGAAAACAAAUAAAUGAUUGAAUAAUAGAAAAUAAUUUGUAACUGAAAAGGAAUUAAAAUAAAACAAAUAAAUGAUUAAAUAAUAGGCCCAUAAAGUCAAAGGUCACAGGGGAAGGGGACAGGAAACAAAGCCUACUCGUUAGAUUGCAUGACAAGAGCUAAAAAUGUGCUCGAAAUUAGUGCCUAUAUAAAAGGUAGGUCGAUACUUUGCUUGAAAAUUACAAAUUUUCAAAGAGAGGUGUGCGAUAUUUAUGAGGAGGAUCAGCACGGUUUACAGGUCGGUGGCAAACUUCAAGAGCGGGCUGUAGCAACUUAAAGAUGCUGCUGGCCCUGGUUGUCCUGCAACAACAAAUAUCAAAUGUAACAUUAAAAAAUCAGCGAUUUGCUCAGAAAAGAUUCUAGAUUUACCGUAGGACAAUAUGCCCGAUUCACAAACAUGUCGUCAUCACAAGUAAAUUACAUUUUAAAGAAGCACCUGAAACUAAAGAAAAUCAAAGAACGAUGGAUACCGCAUUAUCUGACAAAUAAGCAAAUGAGGAUCCGUCGCAGUAGCCAAAAAAAACCAAAACGGCCUUUGAUGGCCUAAUUACUUGUGAUGAGACAUGGGUUUACUUUUAAGACCCUAAGCGGAAGUGUUCAAACAGAGUUUGGGCAACAAGAAAUGCUAGACGCCCUAUUGUUGCCACGGUCAAGAAACUAUGCUUGGUGAGUGUAUAAUUACAUUUUUGCUUAUCAUGUUACUGAUCAAGUGAAGAAAAGGAACACUGAAUGAAACAUAACUUUGUUGACCUCCUCUUUUGGGUAUCUCUACGUGGUGAGAAGGAGUUACAUAUGUCCGUUAUGGGGUGCGCUGUUGUGAGCCUGUAUGACGGACAUACCCUGACUGCCUGUUUGCCGUGGGCAGCGUCCCGUAACCUAGAAAAGAGUGUCCUGGUAGUUGAAGGAUACCCAGAGAUCUCCAGUACUCCUAACACACUGUUUUGGCCUCUGAUUUAAGGUAGACGGGUGACCAGGUGAGCCCGGCUUUUUGUUGCUGGGUCGGGUGGGGGUUUCGUUCAUUGAACGCCGCCUUUCCUUGUUGAUCUUGUUUUGGUCAAUCGGCUGGUCAUGCCUUGGAUAUAAAUUUCUCAAAUACUUGGAAGAUUUCUUUGAACUUACACGGCCCCGAAAUGAAUACAAUUCAAUGCACAACUUUGAUUAUUUUUAGAAAUAAUUUUUGGUAGAAUGUAUAUGAUUUAUUCAGUUUUUUUUUUCAAAAUAAUGUAUGCGUAUACAAUACUAUUUAUAUCCAAAUAAGUUUGUGUUAUGUUUCGAAUGACAACAAAUAAUAUCAUUGUGCUGUAAUACUUUAAUUAUUGCCCUCAUUUCAUCUUAGGUUUAGUAGACUGUUUUUUAUAUUAUAAAAGUAAUGGUAAAGCAUUGAA